rnacentral:rRNA from 2 species
GCAAGUCGAACGAACUCUGGUAUUGAUUGGUGCUUGCAUCAUGAUUUACAUUUGAGUGAGUGGCGAACUGGUGAGUAACACGUGGGAAACCUGCCCAGAAGCGGGGGAUAACACCUGGAAACAGAUGCUAAUACCGCAUAACAACUUGGACCGCAUGGUCCGAGUUUGAAAGAUGGCUUCGGCUAUCACUUUUGGAUGGUCCCGCGGCGUAUUAGCUAGAUGGUGAGGUAACGGCUCACCAUGGCAAUGAUACGUAGCCGACCUGAGAGGGUAAUCGGCCACAUUGGGACUGAGACACGGCCCAAACUCCUACGGGAGGCAGCAGUAGGGAAUCUUCCACAAUGGACGAAAGUCUGAUGGAGCAACGCCGCGUGAGUGAAGAAGGGUUUCGGCUCGUAAAACUCUGUUGUUAAAGAAGAACAUAUCUGAGAGUAACUGUUCAGGUAUUGACGGUAUUUAACCAGAAAGCCACGGCUAACUACGUGCCAGCAGCCGCGGUAAUACGUAGGUGGCAAGCGUUGUCCGGAUUUAUUGGGCGUAAAGCGAGCGCAGGCGGUUUUUUAAGUCUGAUGUGAAAGCCUUCGGCUCAACCGAAGAAGUGCAUCGGAAACUGGGAAACUUGAGUGCAGAAGAGGACAGUGGAACUCCAUGUGUAGCGGUGAAAUGCGUAGAUAUAUGGAAGAACACCAGUGGCGAAGGCGGCUGUCUGGUCUGUAACUGACGCUGAGGCUCGAAAGUAUGGGUAGCAAACAGGAUUAGAUACCCUGGUAGUCCAUACCGUAAACGAUGAAUGCUAAGUGUUGGAGGGUUUCCGCCCUUCAGUGCUGCAGCUAACGCAUUAAGCAUUCCGCCUGGGGAGUACGGCCGCAAGGCUGAAACUCAAAGGAAUUGACGGGGGCCCGCACAAGCGGUGGAGCAUGUGGUUUAAUUCGAAGCUACGCGAAGAACCUUACCAGGUCUUGACAUACUAUGCAAAUCUAAGAGAUUAGACGUUCCCUUCGGGGACAUGGAUACAGGUGGUGCAUGGUUGUCGUCAGCUCGUGUCGUGAGAUGUUGGGUUAAGUCCCGCAACGAGCGCAACCCUUAUUAUCAGUUGCCAGCAUUAAGUUGGGCACUCUGGUGAGACUGCCGGUGACAAACCGGAGGAAGGUGGGGAUGACGUCAAAUCAUCAUGCCCCUUAUGACCUGGGCUACACACGUGCUACAAUGGAUGGUACAACGAGUUGCGAACUCGCGAGAGUAAGCUAAUCUCUUAAAGCCAUUCUCAGUUCGGAUUGUAGGCUGCAACUCGCCUACAUGAAGUCGGAAUCGCUAGUAAUCGCGGAUCAGCAUGCCGCGGUGAAUACGUUCCCGGGCCUUGUACACACCGCCCGUCACACCAUGAGAGUUUGUAACACCCAAAGUCGGUGGGGUAACCUUUUAGA